AUGACCUGCUUUCUUUUCUCUUUUCUUUUUUUUUUGAGGGCGAGUCUCACUCUUGUUGCCCAGGCUGCAGUGCAAUGGCAUGAUCUCAGCUCAUUGCAGCCUAUGCCUCCCGGGUUCAAGCAAUUCUUCUGUCUCAGCCUCCCAACUAGCGAGGACUACAGGUACAUGACACAAUGCCCAGGAAGUUAUAGAUAUGGCUCAACUUCUAGAUUCAAGUGUUUCUCUGAAGACAUCGGCUCUCUAACUGUCUCUUGUUUUAGAUUAUUCUUAUAGGAUGAGUUGGACCAAUUCUCACCCUAAUCAUGACUCAGCAAAGAAAACAUUCCUUGCAUACCAGUCCCCAUCUUUGCCUAAAGCUCUUGGUCCUCAUGACUGCAUAUGUAACCUGGCCCAAAAAGCAGACCUAGCUGCUGCUGCUGCAAACCAAUCAAUCAAUCAAUCAAGAUGUAAUCGUUUCUUAGUGCAUAGUCUACUAUCACUGCACAAUAAAUUAUCCCCACACUUGGGAGCUUAAAACA
rnacentral:lncRNA from 13 species